rnacentral:rRNA from 1 species
AUGCAUCUUUGCAAUGCGAAACUUAUCUGGGACCGAAUCUCUGAUGUCUAUGAAGGUCAUCGAACUCGUCAUGAUCCUUGGUUUGAGGAUUUCAAGGAAUCACUCAAAACGAUGACUUUUGAACCUGAACCAUCAUCUUCUGCACCAUGCCUCAUGGCAAAAGGUGCAAAGGUAACCGAAUAUUCCUCAUCAGAGUCUAGUGAUGAUGAAUCUGAUGAUGACUUUGGACCUAGCUAUCCAAGCUUGCUAAUAUUGCCAUUAAACAACAAAAAGCUUUGGAAAAGGUUCAAAACUUGCUAG